UGAAGCAAAAUAGUGAUAUCAAGCAAAUCUCAAAAAAUCGUUCUCAGUUCGGAUUGUAGUCUGCAACUCGACUACAUGAAGUCGGAAUCGCUAGUAAUCGUAGAUCAGCUACGCUACGGUGAAUACGUUCUCGGGUCUUGUACACACCGCCCGUCACACCAUGGGAGCUGUAGCG
rnacentral:rRNA from 1 species